ensembl:lncRNA
GAGAGAAAAAGAGAGUUAAGGGGAAAGAGAGUCAGGAUUUAGGAUACCAGCAGGGUUCACACUGUUUGUCAGUUUCAACACUGUGUGUGAGUGUGUGUCUGUGUGUGUUUAAUAAUAGCUGUACUGGAAUCUUUCCCCUGCCAGUCUCACAGUUUGACGCUGGUUUGUCCUUCAAGUCUGGUAAAAGCUUCAGAAAUCACAUAACCCGUCAAGUGCACUUGCACUUGGACAGACAGAGUAACAGAAAACCACCACCUUUGGUGUGCACUGCUGCAGGUCCCCCCCCCAGAAGUGAUGCUCAUCCCUCUGGACUGUCAGCGGGUCUGGCUUGUUACCUCAUGGGGGCGCUCUGGAUGUACUAAAGAAACCAUCCUCAACACUAGCCGUUUUUUUCUUUAAAAAAAAAAAUUGAACAGGGUCCAAACAGUGGAGGAAGCAGGAGAUGCUGACACAAUGUACGGCAGGGAGGACGAGGGGAGGCAUGGCAGAUCCUCCCUCCAUCACUCAUCACCGGAGAAAAUGAGGAAGACUUGGACACAAAGACGUGAGGCGUGAAGAGAAGAGGAGAGCAGCCGUGCAGAUAAUUAUCAGGGUGUUAUCCCGACACAAUGGAGCUGACGGACAGAGUCUCAUCUCGUCGGCUGCAGGAGGAUGAUGAAUCACUGGCCGCAGCACGUCUGCCAAACGUAGAAAAAUAGAUGCUAUUUAAGUCAUGAAUGCAAUUUUGCCUGCGAUCCAUUUACUCACCUACAUUCUCCUGUGAUUACACUAAAACACACACGUUUUUUCCCGCUUAAUCGAGUUGUUGGAAUUAUUGUGUGCUAACCUCCAGUAGCCCAUUCCUUC